AGGAUUCCCCUAGUACGGCGAGUGAAGUGGGAAAAGCUCAACUUUGUAAUCUGGCUCUUUCAGAGUCCGAGUUGUAGUCUCGAGAAGCAACAUCCGCAUCGGACCUUGGGUAUGUCUGUUGGAAAACAGCGUCGUAGAGGGUGACAAUCCCGUUUGUACCAAGGACGACCGCGUGCAUUGUGGUGUGCUUUCCAAGAGUCGAGUUGUUUGGGAAUGCAGCUCAAAUUGGGUGGUAAAUUCCAUCUAAAGCUAAAUAUUGGCGAGAGACCGAUAGCGAACAAGUACCGUGAGGGAAAGAUGAAAAGCACUUUGGAAAGAGAAUGAAACAGUAUGUGAAAUUGCUGGAAGGGAAACGAUUGAAGUUAGACUUGCGUGGGCCCCACUCAGCCUUUUUGGUGUACUUGGGGCCCGUUGCAGGCCAGCAUCGGUUUGCUUCGCGGAAUAAGGGUGCGCGGGAUGUGGCUUCUUUUGAAGUGUUAUAAACGCGCACUGGAUGCCGAGUCGCAGACCGAGGAACGCAGCGUGUUUGUAGUGCCUGCAGGUACAGAGCGCUUAGGAUGCUGGUAGAAUAGCUUUAAACGACCCGUCUUGAAACACGGACCAAGGAGUCUAACAUGCCUGCGAGUGUUUGAGUGCCAAACUCGAGCGCGCAAUGAAAGUGAAUGAAGGUGGGAUCCGCAAGGUGCACCAUCGACCGGCCCGGAACUAUUGGGAUGGGUCUGAGUAAGAGCAUGUAUGUUGGGACCCGAAAGAUGGUGAACUAUGCCUGAAUAGGGUGAAGCCAGAGGAAACUCUGGUGGAAGCUCGUAGCGGUUCUGACGUGCAAAUCGAUCGUCAAAUUUGGGUAUAGGGGCGAAAG
rnacentral:rRNA from 1 species